UACGGAGGGGGCUAGCGUUGUUCGGAAUUACUGGGCGUAAAGCGCGCGUAGGCGGACCUGCAAGUCGGGGGUGAAAGCCCGAGGCUCAACCUCGGGACUGCCUUCGAUACUGCGGGUCUCGAGUCCGGGAGAGGUGAGUGGAAUUCCUAGUGUAGAGGUGAAAUUCGUAGAUAUUAGGAAGAACACCAGUGGCGAAGGCGGCUCACUGGCCCGGGACUGACGCUGAGGCGCGAAAGCGUGGGGAGCAAACAGG
rnacentral:rRNA from 1 species